UCCGGUUUGUCACCGGCAGUCACCUUAGAGUGCCCAGCUCGACCUGCUGGCAACUAAGAUCAAGGGUUGCGCUCGUUGCGGGACUUAACCCAACAUCUCACGACACGAGCUGACGACAACCAUGCACCACCUGUCUCUCUUGUCCCGAAGGCCUACACUGUCUCCAAUGUAUUCAAGAGGAUGUCAAGACCUGGUAAGGUUCUUCGCGUUGCUUCGAAUUAAACCACAUACUCCACUGCUUGUGCGGGUCCCCGUCAAUUCCUUUGAGUUUCAGUCUUGCGACCGUACUCCCCAGGCGGAAUGCUUAAUGUGUUAACUUCGGCACCCAGGGUAUUGAAACCCCUGACACCUAGCAUUCAUCGUUUACAGCGUGGACUAC
rnacentral:misc_RNA from 1 species